rnacentral:rRNA from 1 species
AUUGAACGCUGGCGGCAUGCCUUACGCAUGCAAGUCGAACGGCAGCACGGGAGCAAUCCUGGUGGCGAGUGGCGAACGGGUGAGUAAUAUAUCGGAACGUGCCCAAUCGUGGGGGAUAACGUAGCGAAAGCUACGCUAAUACCGCAUACGAUCUAUGGAUGAAAGCGGGGGAUCGCAAGACCUCGCGCGAUUGGAGCGGCCGAUAUCAGAUUAGGUAGUUGGUGAGGUAAAGGCUCACCAAGCCGACGAUCUGUAGCUGGUCUGAGAGGACGACCAGCCACACUGGGACUGAGACACGGCCCAGACUCCUACGGGAGGCAGCAGUGGGGAAUUUUGGACAAUGGGCGCAAGCCUGAUCCAGCAAUGCCGCGUGCAGGAUGAAGGCCUUCGGGUUGUAAACUGCUUUUGUACGGAACGAAACGGCGAGCUCUAAUACAGUUUGCUAAUGACGGUACCGUAAGAAUAAGCACCGGCUAACUACGUGCCAGCCGCCGCAGUAA